rnacentral:rRNA from 1 species
GAUGGACGCUGGCGGCGUGCCUAAUACAUGCAAGUCGAGCGAACGGACGAGAAUCUUGCUUCUCUGAUUUUAGCGGCGUACGGGUUAGUAACACGUUUAUAACCUACCUAUAAUACUGGGAUAACUUCGGGAAACCGUAUCUAAUACCGGAUAAUAUUUUUAACCGCAUGGUUCAAAAGUGAAAGACGGUCUUGCUGUCACUUAUAGAUGUAUCCGCGCUGCAUUAGAUAGUUGGUAAGGUAACGGCUUACCAAGGCAACGAUGCAUAGCCGACCUGAGAGGGUGAUCGGACACACUGGAACGGAGACACGGUCAAGACUACUACGGGAGGCAGCAGUAGGGAAUCUUCCGCAAUGGGCGAAAGACUGACGGAGCAACGCCGCGUGAGUGAUGAAGGUCUUAGGAUCGUAAAACUCUGUUAUUAGGGAAGAACAUAUGUGUAAGUAACUGUGCACAUCUUGACGGUACCUAAUCAGAAAGCCACGGCUAACUACGUG